rnacentral:rRNA from 1 species
UCCGGCGUGCUACCACAUGCGAGUCGAGCGAGACAGGGGAGCAAUCCCCGUAGUAAAGCGGCGCACGGGUAAGCACGUUGGUAAUCUAGCCUCGGAGUGGGGAAUAACACCGGGAAACCGGUGCUAUACCGCAUACGAUCACGAUGUCUGCGGACGUUGUGAUGAAAGGCGCAAGUCGCUCUGAGAGGAGCCCGCGGCUGAUUAGCUAGUUGGUGGGGUAAUGGCCCACCAAGCGCUACGACUCAGUAUCCGAGUCUGAGAGGACGGUCGGACACACUGGAACUGAGACACGGUCCAGACUCCUACGGGAGGCAGCAGUGGGGAAUCUUUGGCCAUGGGGUGCAACCCUGACCAAGCAACGCCGCGUGGGUGAUGACAGUCUCUUGGGACGUCAAACCCUUUCGACGGGGAAGAAACCGCAAGGUUGACUGUACCCGUAGAAGAAGCCCCAGGAUAACUCCGUGCCAGCAGCCGCGGUUAAUACGGGGGGGGCAAGCGUAGUACAGGAAUUACUGGGGCAUAAAGGGCGCGUAAGCGGUUCGCUAAGUCAGAUGUAAAACUCUGGCUCACCCAAACCUACAUCGAAAAUGCGGAAUAAAAA